UACAGAGGGGGCAAGCGUUGUUCGGAAUUACUGGGCGUAAAGGGCGCGUAGGCGGCCCGCUAAGUCGAACGUGAAAUCCCCGGGCUCAACCCGGGAACUGCGUCCGAUACUGGUGGGCUUGAAUCCGGGAGAGGGAUGCGGAAUUCCAGGUGUAGCGGUGAAAUGCGUAGAUAUCAGGAGGAACACCGGUGGCGAAGGCGGGUCUCUGGGCCGAAACUGACGCUGAGGAGCGAAAGCGUGGGGAGCAAACAGG
rnacentral:rRNA from 1 species